GAGUUUGAUUCUGGCUCAGGAUGAACGCUGGCGGCGUGCCUAACACAUGCAAGUCGAGCGCGGUUGUGCUUAGUAUUGAGUGUUUUAUUGAUAUAAAACAUUGAAUUCUAUGCACAACUGAGCGGCGGACGGGUGAGUAACGCGUGGGUAACCUGCCCUAUACACAUGGAUAACAUACUGAAAAGUUUACUAAUACAUGAUAAAAUAGUUUUUCGGCAUCGAAGAAUUAUCAAAGUGUUAGCGGUAUAGGAUGGACCCGCAUCUGAUUAGCUAGUUGGUGAGAUAACUGCCCACCAAGGCAACGAUCAGUAGCCGACCUGAGAGGGUGAUCGGCCACAUUGGAACUGAGACACGGUCCAAACUCCUACGGGAGGCAGCAGUGGGGAAUAUUGCACAAUGGGCGCAAGCCUGAUGCAGCAACGCCGCGUGAACGAUGAAGGUCUUCGGAUCGUAAAGUUCUGUUGCAGGGGAAGAUNAUGACGUACCCUGGAGGAG
rnacentral:rRNA from 1 species